CCCCCAGUACACAGCUGGGAGGGCUGCAGUUUUUUCAUGUUAGCCAGAAAGGCAGAGACCUUUUUUUUAAAAGGUGUGCUUGUCUAUGCCAAAGGAAGCCAUUUUCACAAGUGAAACAGAAGACUCAGCAGAAGAGAGUGGGGGAAGGAGGGUCCUUGCUUCUCCUAAAUACCUGGACCAAAUGUGGGAGCUUGCAUAAAGGAGGUGCUCUAGGAAAGACUAAACAUUGGCUGCUUGGGAGCUAGAAGGGAAGCUGCUAAUAGGAGUCGGGGCUAAACAUUCAAGAUCAUAGAAUGAAGCUGAACUCCAGCCUGUGUUUCCUGAAUCCUCAUGUCAGCAUGAACGUGAGACUCCACUGUAUCCCACUGUUGAUGAGCUGUGGAGACUCCCUCCUCUAUUCAUGGAACCAGAAGGUCACUCUGUGUGGAGAAAGUCUCCCUGACUUCAUCUCUGAGGGACUGGAGUGGGGAAGACACAGGUUCCACCCCUUGCAGAGAGGGUGGGUUUGGCAGGGUUGUCUUUCAGGAGAUAUAUAUGUAGUGCUUCACAGCUGUGGGGGUCAUGUCAGGGCACAGAGCUCCUCCUAGCUCUGCACUGCACAAAAGAGCCAUCGAGUCAAGCCCAUUGUAUAUUAUAAAUAUUGUGAUAAUUACCCUUGAGAACCUAAAAAAUAAAUGCAAAUUUGUCAGCUUCCUUGAAGAUGUAAGCAAGAAAGUACUGAUGUUGGUUUGAAAUCAAAAGUGUAUUGUACUUAUUUUUGUGGAUACCUGAACGAGAGCAGACACUAAAGGAAGGUUAACUUUUUAUUAGAUUGUCUGGAACCCACAAUAUAUUUGUAAUGUAAUUAAACACAAUUCUAGCCACAUUUUACGGGGCACUGGUAGGUGUUGAGUCUCACAGAAUUCUUAUUUCAGUGUGGGUGU